rnacentral:rRNA from 1 species
AAGUCCCGCAACGAGCGCAACCCUUGAUCUUAGUUGCCAUCAUUAAGUUGGGCACUCUAAGGUGACUGCCGGUGACAAACCGGAGGAAGGUGGGGAUGACGUCAAAUCAUCAUGCCCCUUAUGACCUGGGCUACACACGGGGUACAAUGGACGGUACAAAGAGCUGCAAGACCGCCAGGUGGAGCUAAUCUCAUAAAACCG